rnacentral:rRNA from 1 species
ACGGAGGGUGCAAGCGUUAAUCGGAAUUACUGGGCGUAAAGCGCACGUAGGCUGUAGUGUAAGUCAGGGGUGAAAUCCCACGGCUCAACCGUGGAACUGCCUUUGAUACUGCACAACUUGAAUCCGGGAGAGGGUGGCGGAAUUCCAGGUGUAGGAGUGAAAUCCGUAGAUAUCUGGAGGAACACCAGUGGCGAAGGCGGCUUACUGGGCUGUAACUGACACUGAGGCGCGAAAGCCAGGGGAGCAAACGG